AACGAACGCUGGCGGCGUGCCUAACACAUGCAAGUCGAACGUGAUUGGAGAGCUUGCUCUCCAUGAAAGUGGCGCACGGGUGAGUAACGCGUAGAUAAUCUGCCUGAUGAUCGGGGAUAACACUUCGAAAGGGGUGCUAAUACCGGAUAAGCCCACGGUGUCUUUGGACGCUGCGGGAAAAGGGGGGGACCUUCGGGCCUUCUGUCAUCAGAUGAGUCUGCGUACCAUUAGCUAGUUGGUAGGGUAAAGGCCUACCAAGGCGACGAUGGUUAGCUGGUCUGAGAGGAUGAUCAGCCACACUGGAACUGAGACACGGUCCAGACUCCUACGGGAGGCAGCAGUGGGAAUUUUGCGCAAUGGGGGAAACCCUGACGCAGCAACGCCGCGUGAGUGAUGAAGGCUCUUGGGUCGUAAAGCUCUGACAGAGGGAAAGAAAUGUGGGUGGCUAAUAUCCAUACCACUUGACGGUACCCUCAAAGGAAGCACCGGCUAACUCCGUGCCAGCAGCCGCGGUAAAAC
rnacentral:rRNA from 1 species